GGGGAAAGCAGAGGCAGACAUUAUUAUUUAUUUCCCACAUUGUAAAACCAAAGAAGCCAUCAGAACCUUUCCUUUCUGAGGGUUGAAGGCCUCUGUGGACCCUGGUCCCAUUCCGUAACCUUGUACCCUGAAAGUAGCUUCUGACCAGGUAGAAAAGCCACACACCUCCCACUCCCUGACCCUCAAGCUUCCACCUGUUUCACCUUGAGCGCUUUCGAGGUGAAAUCUGAAACCAACCCCUAGUGGAGAGCACUCAGAGGGAGGGAUAGAAAAGAAAGAGCCGACCACUUGGAUUGGUGUUAGAAAUUCGAGGCUCCACAGGUGACCUGAGAGCACCGUGGACCUCUGUGUCCUCUCCUUGUCAUCCUUCUGGAUUUCACUGCUGUCCCGUGAGGCGGAAUGUCUUUGUGCCACGUGGCUUGCAAGAUCUUAGUUCUCCAACCAGGGUUCAAACUCGUACUCUCAGCAGUGAGAGCGAAGAGUCCUAACCACUGGACAGCCUCGGAAUUCCCUAAAGCUGUUCUUUUCUACUUCCCCUCAAACUCUUAUCUUGAGAUUCCAUUUGGCACAGGGCUGAGUUGUCAGCAUCAAAAUCCCCUCUCAGCUACAAGGGUCUGUGAGCCUAAUUCAGUAACCUU
ensembl:lncRNA